GCCAGGCGCGGUGGCACAUGCUUGUAGUCCCAGCUACUUGGGAGGCUGAGGUGGGAGGAUCUCCUGAGCCCAGGAGUUCUGGGCUGUAGUGCGCUACGCCCACCGGGUAUCUGCACUAAGUUCAGCAUCACGGUGACCUCUUGGGAGCUGGGGACCACCAGAUUGCCUAAGCAGGGGUCAACCGGCCCAGUUUGGAAAUGGAGCAGGUCAAAACUCCCGUGCUGAUUAGUAGUGGGAUCGCGCCUGUGAAUAGCCACUGCAUUCCAGCCUGGGCAACAUGGUGAGACCCCGUCUCA
rnacentral:SRP_RNA from 1 species